GGAUGUGAGGGCUAUCUGGCUGUGACAUCUGUCACCCCAUUGAUCACCAGGGUUGAUUCGGCUGAUCUGGCUGGCUAGGCAGGUGUCCCCCUCCUCCCUCACCUAUCCAUGUGCGUCCCUCCCGAAGCUGCACAUUUGGUCGAAGAGGAAGACCUUUCCCCCUGGAGGAGAGGACCGGUCUUCCGUCAAGGGUAUACGAGUAGCUGUGCUCCCCUGCUAGAACCUCCAAACAAGCUCUCAAGGUCCAUUUGAAAAUGUCACAUGUGCACUUGAGAAGAUACUAUACUCUGUAGCAUUGGGGUAAAAUAUUUUGAAAAUGUCAAAUAAUUCCAUCUAGUAUGUCAUUUAGGAU
rnacentral:snRNA from 1 species